rnacentral:rRNA from 1 species
CCUACGGGAGGCAGCAGUGAGGAAUAUUGGUCAAUGGCCGGGAGGCUGAACCAGCCAAGUCGCGUGAGGGAAGACGGCCCUACGGGUUGUAAACCUCUUUUGUCAGGGAGCAAGGUGCAGGUCGGGACCUGCUGUGAGAGUACCUGAAGAAAAAGCAUUGGCUAACUCCGUGCCAGCAGCCGCGGUAAUACGUAGGGGGCAAGCGUUAUCCGGAAUUACUGGGUGUAAAGGGAGCGUAGACGGUAAUGCAAGUCUGGAGUGAAAGGCGGGGGCCCAACCCCCGGACUGCUCUGGAAACUGUGUAACUGGAGUGCAGGAGAGGCAGGCGGAAUUCCUAGUGUAGCGGUGAAAUGCGUAGAUAUUAGGAGGAACACCAGUGGCGAAGGCGGCCUGCUGGACUGUAACUGACGUUGAGGCUCGAAAGCGUGGGGAGCAAACAGGAUUAGAUACCCGGGUAGUC